rnacentral:ncRNA from 2 species
GGUCAUGAGUGCCAGCAUCAAGCCCCGGCUCGCUGGCCGGCAACCCUCCACCCGCGGUGGGGUGCCCCGGGUGAGGACCUGGCUGUCCGGCACCGGCCGGAUGGCAAGCGCGGCCC